rnacentral:rRNA from 2 species
ACAUAAGUAACGAUAAAGCGGGUGAAAAGCCCGCUCGCCGGAAGACCAAGGGUUCCUGUCCAACGUUAAUCGGGGCAGGGUGAGUCGACCCCUAAGGCGAGGCCGAAAGGCGUAGUCGAUGGGAAACAGGUUAAUAUUCCUGUACUUGGUGUUACUGCGAAGGGGGGACGGAGAAGGCUAUGUUGGCCGGGCGACGGUUGUCCCGGUUUAAGCGUGUAGGCUGGUUUUCCAGGCAAAUCCGGAAAAUCAAGGCUGAGGCGUGAUGACGAGGCACUACGGUGCUGAAGCAACAAAUGCCCUGCUUCCAGGAAAAGCCUCUAAGCAUCAGGUAACAUCAAAUCGUACCCCAAACCGACACAGGUGGUCAGGUAGAGAAUAC